UCUGUUGGCUGAUGUGCUUAUAGGCCACUUUGUUUCCUGCCGUUUGUUGUAUUGCCGGAGGCUCUCCGUCCGCCUGAGUUCCUCCCCCGAUUUUCCGCCCACUCAAAACUCCAACUACGUUUGCGUUCAGAUGGGAAGUUAAUAAAACAGCCUUUUAUGGGUGCUGCUGCUGCCUUUGUUGCUGCUGCUCAAUAUGUUUUCAUGGGCAUUUGAGCGUCUGAGCGUAUGCAGCAAUCAAAUUAAAUGUUAUUGUGCCACUAAUGGCUGCAACAAACAGGACAGAGAAUACAGAGGACAUGACACAAGCAACAACUGCAACAAUGUUGCACCUGCAACAAGCAGCAUCAGCAGGUGUUAAAGGCCACUUAAGUGCUGAAAAAUGUAAGAGUGGGUGUGGAAUGGUAGUGGGCGGUGCCUCCCGGCGUCCGUUUGCCGUAAUUACGUCGCCUCCUCUAUACAAACUCACACACACACAAAGGGGGAAAAAAGGUAGAAACUUCCAAGGUGUCCAAAGGAGUCUGCUAAGUCCAAGGGUUAAUGCACAAACAAGGACGAAAGUGGAAAGAUGAGAGAGAGUGGAGAAUGCCGAGCUUAAGUUUGAAGGAUAGUCUAGACUACCGCAUUAUUUAGCUGCAUUUAUCAUACUAAAAUGAUAAAGCAUUUAAAGACUGUUAUAUGCAGAAAAAAUGGAAAUUAAUCAAUUAUUGGAUUGUUAUUAAAUUAAAAGGACUCUGAUUUUA